GAUGAACGCUGGCGGCGUGCCUAAUACAUGCAAGUCGAGCGAACGGACGAGAAGCUUGCUUCUCUGAUGUUAGCGGCGGACGGGUGAGUAACACGUGGAUAACCUACCUAUAAGACUGGGAUAACUUCGGGAAACCGGAGCUAAUACCGGAUAAUAUUUUGAACCGCAUGGUUCAAAAGUGAAAGACGGUCUUGCUGUCACUUAUAGAUGGAUCCGCGCUGCAUUAGCUAGUUGUUAAGGUAACGGCUUACCAAGGCAACGAUGCAUAGCCGACCUGAGAGGGUGAUCGGCCACACUGGAACUGAGACACGGUCCAGACUCCUACGGGAGGCAGCAGUAGGGAAUCGUCCGCAAUGGGCGAAAGCCUGACGGAGCAACGCCGCGUGAGUGAUGAAGGUCUUCGGAUCGUAAAACUCUGUUAUUAGGGAAGAACAUAUGUGUAAGUAACUGUGCACAUCUUGACGGUACCUAAUCAGAAAGCCACGGCUAACUACGUG
rnacentral:rRNA from 1 species